GUCCCUGUAGCUCAAAAGGAUAGAGCAGGUCUCUCCUAAGGACCUGAUGGGGGUUCAAUUCCCUCCAGGGACA
rnacentral:tRNA from 1 species